rnacentral:lncRNA from 1 species
AGACCUUGAGGUGAUUCUGUGCUCAAGAAGCAGAGACGUGGAGUCACUGAAUGAAAAUGAAAGAACAGGCAGUGUCUACGGUCAGAACUGAAAGGUUUUAGUUUACCUAGUUAAUUCCUUAGAUUUACAUCUUAGUUCCCUCCUUAUCUUGCAUGUGCAUAUAAACUUAGGCUUACUGAGCCAUUUUAUUUUUCUCCCCAAAUAAGACUAAUUUUAUAGGAGACAUAGGGGCCACUGCAGCAGCUUAGCUGAGGAACGUAUGAGAAACUGUUCAUUUUCUGUCCCCUCCUGUCUUAGGCUGAUCUGUCCCUUGAUGUGCUACCUGCUUCUGCUACCGACCCAUACUGCAGACUUCUCAUUCAUCCCCAAGGCCUCCAAGCAAUGUCCAAUAGGGAAUCGACUCUAAAAGGAACCAGACCAGACCAGACCAGACCAAAAAGGUGUGCAGCCCUUUCAUUGUGGUGAUUGAGGGAAGGAAAGAAUGGGAGGGGGUAUACAUGUGUAGUGGAUGGAAGGGAAACAGACUGUCAAAUUACUAUAUCUCUUCAGUUUCUUUUAGAAUAGAAUUCUGCAACCAUACUAUCACUACUGUGUAAAUAUAGGGGAAGUUCAAGAUGGUGACCUUGAUUAGAAUAUGUCUGGAGAGGAAUAAAUGGAGUGUGUGAGAUAAGAGACCAUUGGUUAUGAAAGAUGUUGAAGUCCUGAAAUAAUGUGACCAUCUGAGGAAUUUUUUUAAGCCAGAGUUUAUAAAAAUAUCACCAAUACAGCCUGCCCCCUCACUGCCCGCCACAGGAGACUUCUUGGACUGGAGACAUUUGUUUAAUAAUAGCUUGUCUCUGAUAUUCCCAGUAGCUACCUCUCUGAGGAGAGGAUAGCAAACAAACGUUCAGGACAUCAUCCUACAAAGUUCCAGUAGCAGUGACGCCUACACGGAAGACUUGGAACUGCAAACAGAGGCUGGGGUCACCUCAGUGACAUCUGACGCCGUCCAACCACAAGUUCGAUUUUUGUUCUGUGGGGCGAGAAAGACUGUACU